GACGAACGCUGGCGGCGUGCUUAACACAUGCAAGUCGAGCGGAGCGGCGAACGGGUGAGUAACGCGUGAGUAACUGCCCCCCUCUCUGGGAUAACAGUUGGAAACGGCUUCUAAUACCGGAUAGUGGGGGAUGACUCGCGUCCUAUCAGCUUGUUGGGGGGGUAGUGGCCUACCAAGGCGACGACGGGUAGCCGGCCUGCGCGGGCGACCGGCCCAAUUGUGCUGAGAUAGGGACCAAAAUCCAACGGGAGGCAGCAGGGGGGAAUAGUGCACAAUGGUGGAAACCCUGAUGGAGCAACGCCGCGUGCGGGAUGACGGCCUUCGGGUUGUAAACCGCUUUCGGCCAUGACGCGGUAGUGGCAGAAGAAGCACCGGCUAACUACGUGCCAGCCGCCGCGGUAAUAC
rnacentral:rRNA from 1 species